rnacentral:rRNA from 1 species
UCCUACGGGAGGCAGCAGUAAGGGAUAUUGGUCAAUGGGGGAAACCCUGAACCAGCAACGCCGCGUGAGGGAAGACGGUUUUCGGAUUGUAAACCUCUGUCCUCUGUGAAGAUGAUGACGGUAGCUAAGGAGCAAGCCACGGCUAACUACGUGCCAGCAGCCGCGGUAAUACGUAGGUGGCAAGCGUUGUCCGGAAUUACUGGGUGUAAAGGGAGCGCAGGCGGGAAGCCAAGUCAGCUGUGAAAACUACGGGCUUAACUUGUAGACUGCAGUUGAAACUGGUUUUCUUGAGUGAAGUAGAGGUU